rnacentral:lncRNA from 1 species
UCAUGAAUUAAGACCUUUGACCUUCCUCCUCCUCGCCGCCGCAGUGGAGGCCAUUGACUAUUACUGCAUAGCUCGCUAAGAAGUUCUUGACGUUGCUCUCAAGGAAAUUAUUGCCCAGCUCUGGCUAGGUGGAAUGUGACCCCGUUAAGGCUGAAGGCCCAUGCGGAUCACUCGAGAACCUUUACCUCUCUGCAUCGUUCGUUCCGAACAUUGUAUAGCUAUGCAAACU